rnacentral:rRNA from 1 species
UACGUAGGCAGCGAGCGUUGUUCGGAGUUACUGGGCGUAAAGCGUGCGUAGGCGGUUUUGUAAGUCUGGUGUGAAAUCUCCCGGCUCAACUGGGAGGGUGCGCCGGAAACUGCAAGGCUGGAGUAUGGGAGAGGUAAGCGGAAUUCCUGGUGUAGCGGUGAAAUGCGUAGAUAUCAGGAGGAACACCUGUGGUGUAGACGGCUUACUGGACCAUGACUGACGCUGAGGCACGAAAGCGUGGGGAGCAAACAGG